AACGAACGCUGGCGGCAUGCCUAACACAUGCAAGUCGAACGAUCACUUCGGUGAUAGUGGCGCACGGGUGCGUAACGCGUGGGAACCUGCCUUUAGGUUCGGAAUAACUCAGAGAAAUUUGAGCUAAUACCGGAUAAUGUCUUCGGACCAAAGAUUUAUCGCCUUUAGAUGGGCCCGCGUUAGAUUAGAUAGUUGAUGGGUAAUGGCCUACAAGUCGACGAUCUAUAGCUGUCUGAGAGGAUGAUCAGCCACACUGGACUGAGACACGGCCAGACUCCUACGGAGGCAGCAGUGGGGAAUAUUGGACAAUGGGCGCAAGCCUGAUCCAGCAAUG
rnacentral:rRNA from 1 species